UCCCCCUCCUCGUCGCCCUCCUCUCUCUCUCUCUCUCUCUCUCUCUCUCUCCCCAUCGCGCCGGCCGGUUCCGGCCAGCUCCGGCCCGCGCGUCUCCCCCGCGACCCCCGCCUCCUCUCCUGCCGCCGCCGCCGCCGGAGAAGCUCGCCGCCGAUGCCCGUGACCUAGCCCGCGCGUCUCCCCCGCGACCCCCGCCCCCUCUCCUGCCGUCGCCGCCGCCGGAGAAGCUCGCCUCCGCGCCCACAAGCCUCGGAUCCGGCGGGAUUCGGGACGAGGAGGGGUGGAUGAGACGGGGGAGGAGGAGGAGGAGAGUGUGGGGGCGUCUGGGGAGGAAUAUCCCCGCCGCCUCCUCCGCUCCUGACGCAGGGCCUCGAGCCAUGGGGGCGUUCGUUGCAGGAACCUCGCCGCUGGCCUCCCGUGCGCGGCGCCCGGCCCUGGCAGCGCUGACCUCGCCGAUGGCCUCCUGUGCGGUACCUCUUCUUCCCCGACGACGCAUGCCCGCACAUCUCGCCCGCCGCCUCCAGCUACUCGCCGGCUUCGCCACCCGCGCCGCUGCCUGUCUUGCAAUGAGCGCCGGAGCAGCCUACGGACAAGAGUGGCGUUCAAGACAACAUGCGCAGCUUGGGAACCGCUGGCUGAAACUGCAAGUUGUUGUCUCUACCAAUUGGCCUUACCAAGCCGGGCUCCUUCUAUCUCGUGUUAGAGCUUGGUAAUGCAAUUAACAACUCUCUUCUUCGUGGCAUGGCUGCUUCACAGUUAGAUUGAUGCUGCUGUAUGUGGUUGAUGGAGGAAGCACGGGGAGGAGCAAAAACAAAUGGUGUUGGAGGAGGAAAAACAAAUGGCGAUCUCCAUGUAUGACUGUUUCUACAAGCUUAGAUUCAGCGAUUGGUUGUUGUGCAUUUGCAUGGUGUCCGCCUGAUCGAGAGGUACAAGGGGCUCAUUGGUCGCUUGGCCUGCUUUUGGUAUAUCAAUGAGGAUAUCCCUGACAUAAAUUCGUUUAGUGACAGUCUUGGAGAGAAAUUUACUACUGUCGAUGCACACACUCAUUCGGGGUAGAAUCUGAUCUCGAGUGCUGAUUGUUUCUCGAUUUCACGCCACUUCUUCUCCACCACACCCUUGCUCAGGCAUCAACAGCUUGUUGCCAUGGUUUGAAUCACACAUGUUCAGUUGAAUGGAUAUCUAAGAGGACCAAGGUGAUGUUGUUGUGAGAUAUUUGCAAAGGGAGUUGGUGACGUACAGUCAACUUGGUACAUUCAGCGUGCGUGUUCAGGUUCUUUGACACGCUUGGGAUCGACGGAUCAUUCAUGCCAUGGUUGGAUUUGAAUGGGGGCAGCCGUUUGAAAUCAAAUUCAGAAGAUACACAACCUAAGAUCGAAAUAUUCCUACCUGAACCAAAGGGUUGUACGCCUACCAUUAUUAUCUUUUCCUAUGCUAUUUAUGUUCUUCAUAUCCCCAAUAAUUUAUUCAGUCUUACUUUUGACAUAAAACACAAGUUGACUUUGAACCCCUUCUCCACUAAGACUGCGUUUUUGUUGUUGAACCGAGAUUUGCUAAGCUUGGCAGAGAGGAUAGCUGUUUUUUUUUGCAGAAAACUAGGCUCUAAAAGAUUCAGUACUUACAUGUGGUUUCAUAUCUGCAGUUUGUUUGCAUGUAUUUUUUUGAGGUUUUUGAUGAUCUGAAUCAUGAAAUUUUCUUGGUUAAAAUCUUUAUAUUUGGCAUGAUCUCUGCAAACAAAAUAGAGUGACGAUAGCGCAGCUAAUUACAUUUUUUCGUGCAUGAUAUAUUUCGAUCUCUAAUGGAUAUGAAUGGCUUGAUGUUUCUAUUCAAUUUUUUUUGCCAUGUAUCUUCCAUUUAGGCAUACAGGAUGACCAACAUUUCAUAUUUGUGUCACGUAUCUUCCAUUUAGUUGGAAACUAAUAACCAAGGGGAGUAUUUUUUACAAUUGCAGGACAACCUACAAAUAUUGACCAAUAAAUUAUCCAUCAUAUGUAUCUUUCAUCCCACCACCCCCGCGUCAUCCUCUCCCUCAUGCCGAUUUGUUGCCCGACCGUGCAGACAACAUAGCAAUGACCAUUUAUCGGGUUGUUGUUGCCUUUGGGUUGCUCGCUGUAUCGACUGUCUUGUGAUUCCCCACCUGCUUGCCCUGCAUAUUUUCUAUUUGAUGAAAUGUAUACUAGCUAACUCCAUGUUCUUCUAUCAUUUUAUUUUACUUUGCAGGUUCUACUGUUUGUGACGUGCUUCUUGUUGAUCAUAUGCUGCUUUGGCACGUCAAGGGCCAAUGCUGGUGUUAGGACCACUGCGAUCACAAACAAAGCCAAGUAGCUGCUGCUCCGCUCUCUACUGAAGAAGCAUUUGUAGGUUAUUCUAUGCAUAAGACUGCGCUUUUAUGUGUCAUUUCCUUCAAGCUGUCAUUGCAACAGAAGAUGAAGUGUAUCUUCGUGAUCAGUAGAUCACUGCGUGAUGCCGCAUGUCGUAGUUCUAUCGCUACGUGGAAUGUGCCAGAAAUGCAAGGAAGAUAGACCCAUACAUGGCCGUGCAGUACCGGAGCCAGGAGCACAAGGGCGGCACCGCCCGAGACGUGAUGCACGCCGCCAGGUCCGCGCCGACAUCGUCCUCACGGAGCCGCUGGCCUCUGCGUUGUGUUCUCCAUCUUGCAACGCAUGAUGAACUACACGGUAGAGUUCAGCCGAGGAAGAAUCAGGUGAUUCUGGAUUGUUGUGUAAUUGUUUAUAUUCCUAACUGAGAUGGGAUUACAGUUUAUUUGCUUGAUUAUUGGUCAUGUUUACUUAGAUAAUCCAUUGAUGGUUGAUCUGGUUAAGUACAUAUGCUACCCCUUGUUUGUUUAUAUUGCUAGCUGAGAUGGGAUUACAGUUUAUUUGCUUGAUUAUUGGCCGCAUUUACUUAGAUAACUCAUUGAUGGUUGAUCUUGUUAGCUACAGAUGCUACCCCUUGUUCUGAACAAGCUUUAAUUUUGGUGGACUAAUCCCAGUUUGACGUAGUUGCUGGUCAUCAACAAAAAGCCGACCACAUAAUCCUGUAUUUUAUUUCUGGGUCGUUUCAAAAUUUCUGCUCUACACAGAAUCUUAAGAAGUUUGGGUAUGCACACAGGUCCUAAUAAUAAUGAGCUGUUUAGUGCAAUGCAUGUGGCCUGAUUACUUCUUCUCUUUCCUUUUUUUAUGUUGUACGUUCUUGGAGGUCGCCUUUUCUUUCUUCUGUUGAUCAAGUUUUCUUCUUCUUUCUUCUGCUUAUCAGGGUUUCUUCCUUUCCUUUUUUCUGGAAAUUGCAUUUAUUGUGUGACCUAUGUACUUUCAUUAUUCUUGCUUCAUUGGUCGUGUUGAUAUUCUAGGUUUGGCCCGACAUUGUGUUUUCUUUUGCCUCAUGCCAUUCAUAUUUUGUGGUUGCGUGUGGACAUGAUUUGCGCGCUUAUUUCAAUUGUUAGCCGUGUAUCAUGGUGUGCUUUGCCUGCUUUUUUAUGCUUGUGUGAAUUGACCAUGGUCUGUUCUUGUUGGGGUAAAGCCUGAACUGCCGGCUACACUUUGGUUAUUGUCCUUAUUCUGGUUAUCCUUGGCAUCUUUCUAUCAGUGGAGAUCCUUGUUUUCAAGUAGCAGGGAUAGAGGGACAGAAAAGAUAUAUUUGUCGCGGCGCUGCAAGUGUUGCCCCCCUCCUCCCCAAGGGCAAGGUGAAGGAAGGUGCCUGUGUGGUUCUUCUGCAGUUCGCAGCGAGGAUUGCUGUGUCCAACCUGCACAAGAAUGCCAAGAAGUCCUUCUCGGAGACGAUUAAGGACAUGUACCUGCACUACAACGAGAGAUCUGGGCUGCUUCUUUGUGGCUUCCAAACUUGAAAUGUUUGUUUGGAAGUUAGUUUAGUUUUUUGUUGUGGAUUCACAGCUUCUCACAUGUACCAUCCUCUUAGACCUUUAGAUUUUCAAAGAAUCUAAAUGAAGAUAUGGUGGUAUGGUCUCAAUAGUACAAUUUAAAGCCUUCCAUGCUUUAUAUUUUCUUUGAAAUUUGCUCUUGAAGAAUCAUGUAUCUAUGUUUGAUUUGGUGAGAAAAGGCGGCUUUCAAGCA